CGGGGCGUAGCGCAGCCUGGUAGCGCACUUGCAUGGGGUGCAAGGGGGCGAAGGUUCAAAUCCUUCCGUUCCGACCA
rnacentral:tRNA from 1 species